CUGUAUCUAUCAUUCGGGCCGGCGCCGAAAAUAUGAGACACCACAGGCAAUCUAUCCAUCCGGUGACCGCCACGCUUGCUUCAGCCGCACUAAUUGCUUCAGAUGGAAAAAUUCAAUCGGCCUGCAGAAAUGACUAGGUGAAACUGUAGCAACUGAUGAAUCCAGUAACGUUUGAGUGAUGUUGAGUUCCAUCGUUUCCUCGUUUAUAAAUGGGGGAUCAGAGGGGACAGAUAACGGUUCAUCAUCCCUUGUUAACAUUCUUAGUGCAAGUGAUACAGAUGGUCUUAAAGAUGGGGCUUCUUGAGUGCAAAGAAGUCCUACGUGUAUCACUCUUUUCGCAUCUUUUUGGAAAAUGAUGUUAGGAUAUCUAUGCAUCAUUAAGUUCGGGUCAAAUAUUUCCUCCAUAGUCCCUUGUUUGAAAUGCUUCUAUGCCUGCUCAUCCACAAGUAAUUGUUAUAUGUGAUUGGAUGCGUGAUGACUAUUCUACAUUUUCAUAAUACUAAUAAAGCUAAUGAUAUCUUCAUCUUUGGGUAUGGAAAUAUCAAACAUGUGAUUGUAAUUUUGUCAUCUCUGAAAAUGAAAAAGUAUGUUCCAGUGCUAGUUGAAGAUUUGUUACUUACGAUAGACACUAAGCUGUCUGUAUAUUCUGUGAGUUUGCUUCUGUUGUUUUCCAUUCCCGAGAUAACCUCUAGCAGUAACAUACCAAAGCUGUAGACAUCGGCCUUUUCUGUUAAUUGACCAUGGGCUAGGUACUCUGGAGCUAUAUACCCAGUGGUGAAGUUAUAAAAGUUUGAAAAGAAUUUACAUACUAUAUUGUGUAAUUUAUAUCUAAAUGAUAUCCCAAAUAUAAGAUUAUCAACUAA